rnacentral:rRNA from 1 species
AUUGAACGCUGGCGGCAGGCCUAACACAUGCAAGUCGAGCGAGCGGCGGACGGGUGAGUAAUGUAUGGGGACUGCCCGAUAGAGGGGGAUAACUACUGGAAACGGUGGCUAAUACCGCAUACUAUCGGAUAACCCAUAUGGGAUUAGCUAGUAGGUGGGGUAAAGGCUCACCUAGGCGACGAUCUCUAGCUGGUCUGAGAGGAUGAUCAGCCACACUGAGACUGAGACACGGCCCAGACUCCUACGGAGGCAGCAGUGGGGAAUAUUGCACAAUGGGCGCAAGCCAGAUGAAGCCAUGCCGCAUGUAUGAAGAAGGCCUUAGGGGUGUAAAGUACUUACAGCGGGGAGGCGGUACCCGCAGAAGAAGCACCGGAUAACUCCUUGCCAGCAGCCGCGGUAAUAC